UACGGGGGGGGCAAGCGUUGUUCGGAAUUACUGGGCGUAAAGGGCCAGUAGGCGGCCAACUAAGUCCGACGUGAAAUCCCCAGGCUCAACUUGGGAACUGCGUCGGAUACUGGAUGGCUUGAAUUCGGGAGAGGGAUGCAGAAUUCCAGGUGUAGCGGUGAAAUGCGUAGAUAUUCGCAAGAACACCAGUGGCGAAGGCGGCUCACUGGCCCGAUACUGACGCUGAGGCACGAAAGCGUGGGGAGCAAACAGG
rnacentral:rRNA from 1 species